UGAUAAUGCGAUGACCUCCGCAUCUGGGUCUGCAAAAUUCGGCUGAGGUCCCUUCGUGUGCAUGCAAGAUCAAUCAAACAACGAGAAUUUAGAGAUUUACGAAUCACGAGAGUAAUAAAGACCGAGACUUGUACCUGGA